CCUGCUACAGCAUUAGAGGAAUAUGUACACUUACAAGGCAGAUCAUCAAUUGGUCAUACUGUUAUAAUGACCGAAGGUCAUGAAGUUGCCGACUUUAAGCUGCAUUUUCAGCACUGGCCGAAGAAUGGUGUGCAGAAGUUGUACGAGGCAGGGCGGGAGAAAGUGGCAGCAAUUUUCAAGCAUCAGGGCUAUGAUGUUGCAGAAAUUCCAGAUGAUAAACCUCGGCAGCUCAUCAGUAGUAAUGGUUGUUUGAAGGUUUGGCUGGUGGACCGUGGUUG